rnacentral:rRNA from 1 species
GACGAACGCUGGCGGCGUGCUUAACACAUGCAAGUCGAACGGUGACCCAGGGCUUGCCCUGGUGAUCAGUGGCGAACGGGUGAGUAACACGUGGGCAACCUGCCCCCUGACUUCGGGAUAACUCCUCGAAAGAGGAGCUAAUACCGGAUACGACCACUUCGGACAUCCGAUGGUGGUGGAAAGUUUUUCGGUCAGGGAUGGGCCCGCGGCCUAUCAGCUAGUUGGUGGGGUAAUGGCCUACCAAGGCGACGACGGGUAGCCGGCCUGAGAGGGCGACCGGCCACACUGGGACUGAGACACGGCCCAGACUCCUACGGGAGGCAGCAGUGGGGAAUAUUGCGCAAUGGGCGAAAGCCUGACGCAGCGACGCCGCGUGAGGGAUGAAGGCCUCGGUUGUAACCGUCUUUCUAGCAGGACGAAGCGAAAGUGACGGUACCUGCAGAAGAAGCACCGGCUAAC